CUCUAAUUUAAGACUAUGUCCUCUUGUUGUGGUAGUUUUUCUUCUUUUAAAUAUAGUCUCCUCCUCUACUGUGUUGAUUCCCUUUAUAUAUUUAAAUGUUUCUAUCAUAUCCCCCCUGUCUCGUCUUUCCUCCAAGCUAUACAUGUUAAGAUCCUUUAACCUUUCCUGGUAAGUUUUAUCCCGCAAUCCAUGGACCAGUUUAGUAGCCCUUCUCUGAACCCUCUCUAAGGUAUCAAUAUCCUUCUGAAGAUACGGUCUCCAGUACUGUGUACAAUACUCCAAGUGAGGUCUCACCAGUGUUCUGUACAAUGGCAUGAGCACUUCCCUCUUUCUACUGCUAAUACCUCUCCUAUACAACCAAGCAUUCUGCUAGCAUUUCCUGCUGCUCUAUUACAUUGUCUGCCUACCUUUAAGUCAUCAGAAAUAAUCACCCCUAAAUCCCUUUCCUCAUAUGUUGAGGUUAGGACUCUAUCAAAUAUUCUGUACUCUGCCCUUGGGUUUUUACGUCCAAGAUGCAUUAUCUUGCACUUAUCCACAUUAAAUGUUAGUUGCCACAAUUCUGACCAUUUUUCUAGUUUACCUAAAUCAUUUGUCAUUUGGCUUAUCCCUCCUGGAACAUCAACCCUGUUACAUAUCUUAGUAUCAUCAGCAAAAAGACAUACCUUACCAUCAAGACCUUCUGCAAUAUCACUAAUAAAAAUAUUAAAGAGAAUGGGUCCAAGUACAGAUCCCUGAGGUACCCCACUGGUGACAAG